rfam:TPA: Bos taurus chromosome 5, whole genome shotgun sequence.
CCUGGUGGCUCAGUGGUAAAGAAUCUGCCUGCAAUGCAGGAGACUCAGGUUCGAUCCCUGGGUCAGGA